rnacentral:rRNA from 1 species
AUUGAACGCUGGCGGCAGGCCUAACACAUGCAAGUCGAGCGGAUGAAGGGAGCUUGCUCCUGGAUUCCGCGGCGGACGGGUGAGUAAUGCCUAGGAAUCUGCCUGGUCUUGGGGGAUAACGUCCGGACACGGGCGCUAAUACCGCAUACGUCCUGAGGGAGAAAGUGGGGGAUCUUCGGACCUCACGCUAUCAGAUGAGCCUAGGUCGGAUUAGCUAGUUGGUGGGGUAAAGGCCUACCAAGGCGACGAUCCGUAACUGGUCUGAGAGGAUGAUCAGUCACACUGGAACUGAGACACGGUCCAGACUCCUACGGGAGGCAGCAGUGGGGAAUAUUGGACAAUGGGCGAAAGCCUGAUCCAGCCAUGCCGCGUGUGUGAAGAAGAUCUUCGGAUUGUAAAGCACUUUAAGUUGGGAGGAAGGGCAGUAAGUUAAUACCUUGCUGUUUUGACGUUACCAACAGAAUAAGCACCGGCUAACUUCGUG